UACGAAGGUCCCAAGCGUUGUUCGGAAUUACUGGGCGUAAAGCGAGUGUAGGCGGUGUGGUAAGUCGGAUGUGAAAGCCCCGGGCUCAACCCGGGAAGUGCACUCGAUACUGCCACGCUAGAGUAUCGGAGAGGUUGGUGGAAUUCUCGGUGUAGAGGUGAAAUUCGUAGAUAUCGAGAGGAACACCGGUGGCGAAGGCGGCCAACUGGACGAAUACUGACGCUGAGACUCGAAAGCGUGGGGAGCAAACAGG
rnacentral:rRNA from 1 species